rnacentral:rRNA from 1 species
AGAGUUUGAUCCUGGCUCAGAUUGAACGCUGGCGGAAUGCUUUACACAUGCAAGUCGAACGGCAGCACGGGGCAACCUGGUGGCGAGUGGCGAACGGGUGAGUAAUACAUCGGAACGUGCCCAAUCGUGGGGGAUAACGUAGCGAAAGUUACGCUAAUACCGCAUACGAUCUACGGAUGAAAGCGGGGGAUCGCAAGACCUCGCGCGAAUGGAGCGGCCGAUGUCAGAUUAGGUAGUUGGUGGGGUAAAGGCUCACCAAGCCAACGGUCUGUAGCUGGUCUGAGAGGACGACCAGCCACACUGGAACUGAGACACGGUCCAGACUCCUACGGGAGGCAGCAGUGGGGAAUUUUGGACAAUGGGCGCAAGCCUGAUCCAGCCAUUCCGCGUGCAGGAUGAAGGCCUUCGGGUUGUAAACUGCUUUUGUACGGAACGAAAAGGUCCUGGUUAAUACCUGGGGCUCAUGACGGUACCGUAAGAAUAAGCACCGGCUAACUACGUG